UACGUAGGGACCAAGCGUUGUCCGGAAUCAUUGGGCGUAAAGAGCGUGUAGGCGGCUUGUUAAGUCUUGCGUGAAAUCUCGGGGCUCAACCCCGAGCGGUCGUGAGAAACUGGCAGGCUAGAGUGCGGGAGAGGGAUGUGGAAUUCCAGGUGUAGCGGUGAAAUGCGUAGAUAUCUGGAGGAACACCGGUGGCGAAGGCGGCAUCCUGGACCGGUAUUGACGCUGAGGCGCGAAAGCCAGGGGAGCAAAGCGGG
rnacentral:rRNA from 1 species